rnacentral:rRNA from 1 species
UACGUAGGGUGCAAGCGUUAAUCGGAAUUACUGGGCGUAAAGCGUGCGCAGGCGGUUUUGUAAGUCUGUCGUGAAAGCCCCGGGCUCAACCUGGGAAUUGCGAUGGAGACUGCAAGGCUUGAAUCUGGCAGAGGGGGGGUAGAAUUCCACGUGUAGCAGUGAAAUGCGUAGAGAUGUGGAGGAACACCGAUGGCGAAGGCAGCCCCCCUGGGUCAAGACUGACGCUCAUGCACGAAAGCGUGGGGAGCAAACAGG